CCUACGGGAGGCAGCAGUGGGGAAUAUUGGACAAUGGGCGCAAGCCUGAUCCAGCAAUGCCGCGUGAGUGAUGAAGGCCUUCGGGUUGUAAAGCUCUUUCGCACGCGACGAUGAUGACGGUAGCGUGAGAAGAAGCCCCGGCUAACUUCGUGCCAGCAGCCGCGGUAAUACGAAGGGGGCUAGCGUUGUUCGGAAUUACUGGGCGUAAAGGGCGCGUAGGCGGUGCAUCAAGUCAGGCGUGAAAGCCCCGGGCUCAACCUGGGAACCGCGCUUGAGACUGGUGCGCUAGAGUUCGGGAGAGGAUGGUGGAAUUCCCAGUGUAGAGGUGAAAUUCGUAGAUAUUGGGAAGAACACCGAUGGCGAAGGCAGCCAUCUGGACCGACACUGACGCUGAGGCGCGAAAGCGUGGGGAGCAAACAGGAUUAAAUACCCUGGUAGUCCACGCCGUAAGUGAUGAGUGCUAGACGUCGGGGCCCUUGGAGCUUCUGUGUCGCAGCUAACGCAUUAAGCACUCCGCCUGGGGAGUACGGGCGCGAGGUUAAAACUCAAAAGAAUUGACCGGGGCCCGCACAAGCGGUGGAGCAUGUGGUUUAGUUCGAAGCAACGCGCGCAACCUUACCAGCCCUUGACCUGGGCGUCGCGGGUGGAGAGAUCCCCCUUUCGGUUCGGCCGGACGCCGCACAGGUGCUGCAUGGCUGUCGUCAGCUCGUGUCGUGAGAUGUCGGGCUAAACCCCGCAACGAGCGCUACCCCCAUCCUCAGUUGCCAUCAGCAACGAUGGUGCACUCUGUGACAUACCGACCGUGACAAGCUCGAGUAAAGCCGGGAUGACCCCGAUUCCUCAUGCUCCCUUAUGGGUUGGGCUACAGCGGGCUAUAAUGGGGGUGACCUUGGUCUGCAGAUCCG
rnacentral:rRNA from 1 species